rnacentral:lncRNA from 1 species
GGCUUGCUUCAAAAGUGUCCUCAACGUCAAUGUUAAAGAAUAAAUAUAUAAAAGUCAAAUAAUAUAUAAAACUUCUAGAUAGAAAUUAUAUACAUGUAUAUACAUACAAACUGUAAAAAUCGUUCUUUGAAAAUAAAACUGUGAAACUUGUAUUACAUGUUUAGUUUUUAACAUACAUGUAUGUAGAAUUACAUUUAAUAUCUUAACACAUAAAACGUAAACAUAAUUAUCUUGAUUUUAAACACUGUUAACAUGGUUAAAUGUUUUAGAAUUAAAAUGUUCAUGACUAAAACAAUACUUCCUAAUCUAAAUACGAACCUUAAAACAAUCAUAAACACCAAUGCAACCUAAAUAUGUUGAGAAAUGAGACAUGCUUAAACAUCAAUAAAAAAGUGUAUUUAAAAAAGAUGUGUUUAGGAUUGUGUUUAGGAUCUAAACAC